UAUGGAGACAUAGCGGAGGUAUUCGGGGAGGACAGGUGGUGCAUGGUUGUCGUCAGCUCGUGUCGUGAGAUGUUGGGUUAAGUCCCGCAACGAGCGCAACCCCUAUUGCUAGUUACCAUCAUUAAGUUGGGGACUCUAGCGAGACUGCCAGUGAUAAACUGGAGGAAGGUGGGGAUGACGUCAAAUCAUCAUGCCCCUUAUGACCUGGGCUACAAACGUGAUACAAUGGCUGGAACAAAGGGAGGCGAAGGGGUGACCUGGAGCGAAACUCAAAAAAACAGUCUCAGUUCGGAUUGAAGUCUGCAACUCGACUUCAUGAAGUCGGAAUCGCUAGUAAUCGCGGAUCAGAACGCCGCGGUGAAUACGUUCUCGGGGUUU
rnacentral:rRNA from 1 species